rnacentral:rRNA from 1 species
AUUGAACGCUGGCGGCAUGCCUUACACAUGCAAGUCGAACGGUAACAGGUCUUCGGAUGCUGACGAGUGGCGAAGGGGAGAGUAAUACAUCGGAACGUGCCCGAUCGUGGGGGAUAACGAAGCGAACGCUUUGCUAAUACCGCAUACGAUCUACGGAUGAAAGAAGGGGACCGCAAGGCCUUGCGCGAACGGAGCGGCCGAUGGCAGAUUAGGGAGUUGGUGGGAUAAAAGCUUACCAAGCCGACGAUCUGUAGCUGGUCUGAGAGGACGACCGGCCACACUGGGACUGCGACACGGCCCAGACUCCUACGGGAGGCAGCAGUGGGGAAUUUUGGACAAUGGGCGAAAGCCUGAUCCAGCCAUGCCGCGUGCAGGAUGAAGGCCUUCAGGCUGUAAACUGCUUUUGUACGGAACGAAAAGACUCUGGUUAAUACCUGGGGUCCAUGACGGUACCGUAAGAAUAAGCACCGGCUAACUACGUGCCAGCCGCCGCAGUAA